GGGGGUACAGGCUACACAUGCAAGUCGAGCGGUAGCACAGAGAGCUUGCUCUCGGGUGACGAGCGGCGGACGGGUGAGUAAUGUCUGGGAAACUGCCUGAUGGAGGGGGAUAACUACUGGAAACGGUAGCUAAUACCGCAUAACGUCGCAAGACCAAAGUGGGGGACCUUCGGGCCUCAUGCCAUCAGAUGUGCCCAGAUGGGAUUAGCUAGUAGGUGGGGUAACGGCUCACCUAGGCGACGAUCCCUAGCUGGUCUGAGAGGAUGACCAGCCACACUGGAACUGAGACACGGUCCAGACUCCUACGGGAGGCAGCAGUGGGGAAUAUUGCACAAUGGGCGCAAGCCUGAUGCAGCCAUGCCGCGUGUGUGAAGAAGGCCUUCGGGUUGUAAAGCACUUUCAGCGGGGAGGAAGGCGUUAAGGUUAAUAACCUUGGCGAUUGACGUUACCCGCAGAAGAAGCACCGGCUAACUCCGUGCCAGCAGCCGCGGUAAUACGGAGGGUGCAAGCGUUAAUCGGAAUUACUGGGCGUAAAGCGCACGCAGGCGGUCUGUCAAGUCGGAUGUGAAAUCCCCGGGCUCAACCUGGGAACUGCAUUCGAAACUGGCAGGCUAGAGUCUUGUAGAGGGGGGUAGAAUUCCAGGUGUAGCGGUGAAAUGCGUAGAGAUCUGGAGGAAUACCGGUGGCGAAGGCGGCCCCCUGGACAAAGACUGACGCUCAGGUGCGAAAGCGUGGGGAGCAAACAGGAUUAGAUACCCUGGUAGUCCACGCCGUAAACGAUGUCGAUUUGGAGGUUGUGCCCUUGAGGCGUGGCUUCCGGAGCUAACGCGUUAAAUCGACCGCCUGGGGAGUACGGCCGCAAGGUUAAAACUCAAAUGAAUUGACGGGGGCCCGCACAAGCGGUGGAGCAUGUGGUUUAAUUCGAUGCAACGCGAAGAACCUUACCUGGUCUUGACAUCCACAGAACUUUCCAGAGAUGGAUUGGUGCCUUCGGGAACUGUGAGACAGGUGCUGCAUGGCUGUCGUCAGCUCGUGUUGUGAAAUGUUGGGUUAAGUCCCGCAACGAGCGCAACCCUUAUCCUUUGUUGCCACCGGUUAGGCCGGGAAUUCAAAGGAAACUGCCCGUGAUAAACUUGAGGAAAGGUGGGGGAUGAAAGCCAAGCAAUCAUGGGCCCUUUCAACAAGGGGUACCCCCUGGUUCAAUGGGUUUUCCAAAGAAAAGGACCCCCCCGAAGCAACGGACCCCUAAAAAAUGUUUUAGCCCCGGAUUGGAGUUGGACUCGACUCCCUCGAACCGGAACCCUUGUAUCUUAAUACAAUUGUACGGGGAAAAAUUCCCGGCUUGUCACCCCCGCCCCCCACCCGAAGGGUUCGAAAAAAAGGAGUAACUCCGGGGUACU
rnacentral:rRNA from 1 species